GCCCUGUGGUUGCGGAGGCCGAGGAAUUGAGAAGAACGAGUGGUGUGGAGCUGGCGACGACGAUCUUCGAAGACGGCGAGCACAGAGGGGUGUUUAAGCAGGGAAGCUGCCUGGUCAGUGGUUAGAGUAGUGGAGAAGCCGUGAAAGCCGGUCGAUCAUAAACUUGAAGC